CUUGUUUUAAUGAUUGUUUAAUUUACGUUUUAGAUUUAGCAUAAGAAAGAGUUCUGUUCUGAAGACUUAUAUUAAUCUUAAAGUGAAUGGAACAAAUCAUGCUCUGGAGGUCCCUGUUUUCCUGCACUGUGUGUACACACAGAAUCUGUGUUACGCUCUUGAUGCCUAUUUUUAGACAAUGAAAGUUAGACAAAACAUAAGUUAUCUAAAUAUACUUGUUGCAAGCUCUAAGGCAUGAUUACAGUCGCUCUCAAAGAUGACUGCUACUAUCAGACAUUUGUGCUUCUGGUUUCCUUUCUCCCUUAAGACUCUGAAAUGAUGUGACAGAGAAUAUAAGGCAUUAUCUUCUGACGCAUGUGAUUCCUUUGGGGUUAAAGGGUCAGCACUGGUCUUUGCUACCAAUGAGCCAGCUUCAGGUCUCAGCAAUGGAAGCUGUUCAAACUCAGAGUGAACUAAAAAUUGGUAUAAAAUUACAUUUUUUAAAGUAAUUUUUGUAUUCAAUUUUAACUGAAAGAUAUUAUUUUCUUCUUCUGCAGGUAAUGCUUCAUAAAUUAUAUCACAGAUAUGAUACAAGAAUUAUUUGUCCCAAAGGUUAUACUCCUUAUACAUUAUUCUGUUGCUUUUCACCUUUGCACUCAAAAUGAAUAUAAUUUUAUAGACAUUGUACUGCUAUAAAGACCAUAGAGAAUCUUGUCUUUAUCAGAGAAGAUAACGUGCAACUUUCAGGAAUAUUACAAAUGAAUAAUAAAGGAGUAUUUAAAAAAAAAUCCAAAGCAGAAAGACUUUACAAGAUAUAUUCAGCUCUGUGUAACUGUGUAUAAUUUCCCUUGAUAGUUAUAGCUACUUAAUACUGGCAAGUAUACCAAUUAGUCACCUCAUCAAACAAUUCCCAUGCUGUCAAUAUUUAAUUAUUUUAUUUUGCUUCAAGACUAAUUGUUCCUAUGUCUAAAAGCAUUUGGACUAAAGUAAAGAGUUUAAAACUUAGCAUAUCCAACAUGUUUUCUAUUGAUAAAUCAAAAACUUAGUCUAAGCAGGAAGACAAUAACCAAAGAGGUUUUUAAAUACCAAGAUACUUAAAAGCAUUUAGCCUGCUUAUCACUUCACAUCCAAACUGUGAGCUGUGUUCUUGUGGAUAUGCUGAAUUAGUGUACAAGGUCAGAGUCCCUGAAGUAAUUAUCAAGCCAGUGUGAAUGCAAAUGUUAACUAGAAUAUCAAUUAUACAUAUAUGCAGGUAAAUAAGAACUUUUAUACAGAAUUCAAAGUAGAAACAAUUAUCUGCACUAAACAUUCUUUCCAGAAAUAAUCUAACAGUAAACAGUAAUUUUGUUAUUUAUUUUCAUUACAUUGCUGUAAAGCCCUGGAGAAUAACAUGAAAAACAAAACGUGUCUUGUCUGUAUAAAUUUCCUGUGUAACUCUUAAAGUCUCUGUCUAAUAUCAGCAUAAAAAUAAUUUACUUUACAAUGUCAUAAUAAAAAAAAAAUAGUCCAGUCUUAACAGAAAAUAAGGGGCCUGGAUAUAUUUUGUUUAAUUCCUUAGAACAAAUUGCUAUAAGAGAAAUGCUGAAGCUGUGGAGACUUACUCCUGCUUUUCAGUAGAAGUGGGGCUGAUUUCAGGCUUAAGAGAGCAGUGAAUCUGUCAGCCAAAUACCAAGUAACUGUAGGUACUGUCACAUUGUUAGGCAAUACACAGUAAAUGAUACUAUUUGGACUCAAAUGUAGCAUAUGUGAAUUGAAAAUUUCUAUUGAGAGCUCCAUCUUGUGUUUCUGUGAACAAAGAUUUUACACCUUUGCUUUUCUCACUAGGAAUGAGGGCACAAUAUUUUUCUUUUGUUGCCAAAGUUGACUAAAAAUAUCUUUUUUGCCACUGGGAAGUACAACUCUUUUUUAUGAGGGAAAAGUUCAAGGAGGAUCAAGAAACCAGUAUCCUACAACCUGAGAUCACAUCAUCCUCUUAAGUUCUGAAGAUGAGAUUGAAAUAUUAGAUUUACCUCUAUUUUUCCUUUAGCUACUAACAAGCUGUAGACAAAUCCAAUUGGGUUUUAUUUUAGAAAAUGAUAAAUUCUCAGAUACAUCACAGUUCUGGAGAAUUUUACUUAAUUCAAGUUUUUCUAGGAAGGCUCUAUCUUUUAGUUCAGGACUUCAAGGGAAAAGCAAAAAACUUGUGGUCCAGAGAAAAACAUUGAACAACUAUUGCAGACAGUGAAUGAGCAAUGACCACCAACUAUAAUCUAUAAAUCAAUCUAUAAUUUUUUUCAGGCCAGAAUUAAAGGUUUAUCAGGAAAAGUUACUUUGUCCUAUAAAGGAAUAUAAAUGAAAUUGCCAAAUGAAGGCACAUACUGACGGAGUAGAGGGGAAAAAAUCCUGGCAAAACUUUUCUGUGGAGUGCUUAACUGGGUAAAAUGUUUUGAAAACUAAAUCAUUUUAUAGGAUCAUUACACUUGAUAGUAGCUUGAUAAUUCCUAGAGGGACUCUGCGCCAAAAAGCUUUUUUGCAAACAACAACUGAAAAUUCUACUCAAGCUCCUAAAAACUUGGAAAAAUUAGGGGUAUAUCCACAAUAUAAAUUCCACUUGCAUUAAUAACACUUCUCUAUAGGAGAAAAAUCUGAAAACUUAAACUAAGCAUUCUCAGGCCUAGAAAAAUUGUGCUACUAAAACAUGAGCAAAGGGCAACACUACGUACUUUCAUCAAAGGCUUAGACUAGCACCUUUCCUGUGUGACAGGAGAAAAAAAAUCAUGAGGUUGAGGCAGAGGUUCGGUUGGUUAUCAACAACUCAGUGCUCAACAAAGCAGAAUAAAACUAUGUGCUCAGAGACAUUCUCCCCAGUUAGCUGCUAUUUUACUGCAUCACUCAAGUCUGCAGAGGAAACUAUACAAGAAGAUGACUGGCACACGAAGAAAGACAUUGAACAGAGUGAGCACAGUGUGCCAAGAACAGAAAAAAAA